rnacentral:rRNA from 1 species
AGUGAACGCUGGCGGUAGGCCUAACACAUGCAAGUCGAACGGCAGCACAGUAAGAGCUUGCUCUUACGGGUGGCGAGUGGCGGACGGGUGAGGAAUACAUCGGAAUCUACUUUUUCGUGGGGGAUAACGUAGGGAAACUUACGCUAAUACCGCAUACGACCUACGGUUGAAAUCAGGGGAUCUUCGGACCUUUCGCGAUUGAAUGAGCCGAUGUCGGAUUAGCUAGUUGGCGGGGUAAAGGCCCACCAAGGCGACGAUCCGUAGCUGGUCUGAGAGGAUGAUCAGCCACACUGGAACGGAGACACGGUCCAGACUACUACGGGAGGCAGCAGUGGGGAAUAUUGGACAAUGGGGGCAAGAAUGAUACAGCCAUACCGCGUGGGUGAAGAAGGACUUCGGGUUGUAAAGCCCUUUUGUUGGGAAAGAAAAGCAGCAGGUUAAUACCCCGCUGUUCUGACGGUACCCAAAGAAUAAGCACCGGCUAACUUCGUG